UACGAAGGGGGCUAGCGUUGCUCGGAAUCACUGGGCGUAAAGCGCACGUAGGCGGCUUGUUAAGUCAGGGGUGAAAUCCUGGAGCUCAACUCCAGAACUGCCUUUGAUACUGGCGAGCUUGAGUCCGGGAGAGGUGAGUGGAACUGCGAGUGUAGAGGUGAAAUUCGUAGAUAUCGGGAGGAACACCGGUGGCGAAGGCGGCGACCUGGGUAGAUACUGACGCUGAGGUGCGAAAGCGUGGGGAGCAAACAGG
rnacentral:rRNA from 1 species